GGAACAGGAACCCUAUGCAGCGAAACCUACGGCUGCGCGCAGGGGUAAACUGGACUGGGCGCGGCGAGCUGAAAACUGGGAGCGGUGCCCAUGGCGAGCAGCAGGAGGGCGGCCGAGCUGGAGCCGACACAGAGGCUGGGGACUGGGCGCCGAACACGCUGCAGCAGGGAGCUCGGCAGGGCGGCGGCCUGAAGAACGGGCAGAGGGAUGAGCGCAGGGGGAGAGCCAAGGGCUGCUCGCGCCCAAAGGCCGACGGCCAUGGAUCCAGAGCACCCUGCGACCACCAUGGGAGACGAGCAGAAGACUCGCGCGAGCUGGAAGAGGAAGGGAGGGCGCGCGUCAGGGAGAUGGAGCGCCAGGAACAGACGCGCCAUGCCUGGGAGCUUGGAGAGGGAGACGGCCAGGGAGCUGUGAACCGAAGGAAGGAAAUCCGGGCACGCGACGGAAUUCAGCCGGGCGCCAUGAGAGCCGUGCGCACGUGGGAGAUCCGGCGAGCUGCAGGUUCUCUAUCGACCGCAUCGUGGCUAUGUCCUGCGGUGCCACAGGCUUCGCCGCGAGGCCCCCGCUCACCGUCGGGAACACAGCCGAGCACCAGGGAGGCCAUGGAAUGGGCGCCGUCAAGGCCUGAGCAAGGAUGUCAGCAUCAGGGUUUACCUUACCGGUAAUAAAAAAAAACCGGACCUCACCGAGAAACGUGUUUUUCGGAAUUCUCGAUUUUUUUCGUUUUUCUCAAAAAAAUUUCGGACAAAAUUUAGACAAAAAAAGUUCAAUUUAAUCAUAAAAAUGUAGAUUAUUUGUAGGUAAUGGCUAAAAGAAUCAUAUGGUAGCGUUUUGGACCUCUUCUUUGUAGCCUAAAUACAUAACAGUAGGUUUGGACGAAUUGAAUUCAAAAUCG
rnacentral:misc_RNA from 1 species